rnacentral:rRNA from 1 species
GACAGAGGUGCCGAGCGUUAGGCGGAAUCACUGGGCUUAAAGCGUGUGUAGGCGGAUCGUUAAGUACCUUGUGAAAUCCCACGGCUCAACCGUGGAACUGCUGGGUAUACUGGCGGUCUUGAGCCACCUAGGGGCGAGCGGAACAAGCGGUGGAGCGGUGAAAUGCGCAGAUAUCGGGAAGAACACCCGUGGCGAAGGCGGUUCUCUGGGACGGUACUGACGCUGAGACGCGAAAGCGUGGGGAGCGAACAGG